rnacentral:lncRNA from 1 species
CAAUAAAAAAUCAAAGGAAGUAUGUGUUAACAACCAUAUGUCAUCGUACGACCUUCAACAAUAACCCAAAAAAUCAAAAUGUAAAAGGUUUUGCAUGAAAAUGGAAAGAAUUAAUACAGAACAAAGGACUUUUUUCUAAUAAAAUUAAAAAUGGAAACGGGGAAUGUCUCGUAGACAACAACCUGACCAAAGAGCAGAAAACAGCUGACGGCCACCAAUGGGCGGGAUACAGCCGGCCCUCAAACAAAAUGUAAUCUAGUUCAAUGAAAAUGGACGUCACAUUCAAGUUCAUAACAUAUAAUCGAACUAAAAUUAAAAAAAAAAUACAAAAGAAGAGGGAGGUCACUAAGCUUGGAAUUUGAAUAGUUUUGAAAUUAUUAAAUGGUUAAAAAAAAAAAUAUGAUAGAACACUUAAAAAAAAUUUCCCCAUUUUAUGAAUAGGCAGACUAGAAUUUUUCAGAGAAUGAUAACGAGAUAACAUAGAUAACACUAACAGAAAUAAAUUGUUUUAAGUUUAUAAAAGUAAACUAAUAUAGAUCAAGGUACGGCCUUCAACACGGAGUCAUUGCUCACACCGAACGGCAAGCAAUAAAGGGCCCUAAAAAUUACAAGUGUAAAACCAUCCAAACAGGAAAACCAACGGUCUAAUCUAUACAAAAACGUAAAACGAGAAACACGUUAUAUUAACUACAUAAACAAACGACACCUACUGAAUAAAAUUGAGAAUGGAAAUGGGGAAUGUGUCAAAGAGACAACAACCCGACCAUAGAACAGACAAUAGCAAAAUGUCACCAAUUGGUCUUCAAUGCAGCGAGAAAUUCCAGCACCCAGUGGCACUCUCGUCUGGCC